rnacentral:rRNA from 1 species
GACGGGAGGAUGCAAGUGUUAUCCGGAAUCACUGGGCGUAAAGCGUCUGUAGGUGGUUUAAUAAGUCAACUGUUAAAUCUUGAGGCUCAACCUCAAAAUCGCAGUCGAAACUAUUAGGCUAGAGUAUAGUAGGGGUAAAGGGAAUUUCCAGUGGAGCGGUGAAAUGCGUAGAGAUCGGAAAGAACACCAACGGCGAAAGCACUCUGCUGGGCCGACACUGACACUGAGAGACGAAAGCUAGGGGAGCGAAUGGG